GAUGAACGCUGGCGGCGUGCCUAAUACAUGCAAGUCGAGCGAAUGGAUUAAGAGCUUGCUCUUAUGAAGUUAGCGGCGGACGGGUGAGUAACACGUGGGUAACCUGCCCAUAAGACUGGGAUAACUCCGGGAAACCGGGGCUAAUACCGGAUAACAUUUUGAACCGCAUGGUUCGAAAUUGAAAGGCGGCUUCGGCUGUCACUUAUGGAUGGACCCGCGUCGCAUUAGCUAGUUGGUGAGGUAACGGCUCACCAAGGCAACGAUGCGUAGCCGACCUGAGAGGGUGAUCGGCCACACUGGGAAUGAGACACGGCCCAGACGCCUACGGGAGGCAGCAGUAGGGAAUCUUCCGCAAUGGACGAAAGUCUGACGGAGCAACGCCGCGUGAGUGAUGAAGGCUUUCGGAUCGUAAAACUCUGUUGUUAGGGAAGAACAAGUGCUAGUUGAAUAAGCUGACACCUUGACGGUACCUAACCAGAAAGCCACGGCUAACUACGUGCCAGCCGCCGCAGUAA
rnacentral:rRNA from 1 species